AGGAGGAACAGCCCCAUUGGAGGGGCAGCUCUGGAAACCUGGAUUCAGCUCCGGCAGGAACUCCAGAGCUCUCCGUCUGCAGGGCCUGGAGGCUCCGGGGCGGG
rnacentral:pre_miRNA from 1 species